rnacentral:rRNA from 1 species
UACGUAGGCAGCGAGCGUUGUUCGGAGUUACUGGGCGUAAAGAGUGCGUAGGCGGUUUUCUAAGUUUGGUGAUGAAAUCUCCCGGCUUAACUGGGAGGGUGCGCCGAAAACUGGAAGGCUUGAGUAUGGGAGAGGUAAGCGGAAUUCCUGGUGUAGCGGUGAAAUGCGCAGAUAUCAGGAGGAACACCGAUGGCGAAGGCAGGUC